rnacentral:rRNA from 1 species
UACAGAGGAGCCAAGCGUUGUCCGGAUUGACUGGGCGUAAAGCGCACGUAGGCGGACUCUUAAGUCGGUGGUGAAAUCCUGGAGCUCAACUCCAGAACUGCCUUCGAUACUGAGAGUCUUGAGUCCGGGAGAGGUGAGUGGAACUGCGAGUGUAGAGGUGAAAUUCGUAGAUAUUCGCAAGAACACCAGUGGCGAAGGCGGCUCACUGGCCCGGUACUGACGCUGAGGUGCGAAAGCGUGGGGAGCAAACAGG